GCAACGCUGCUAGCUAGCUGUAUCUCUCGUGCGGUGCGGCGUUGUUGGUUAUCGUAGUUCGGUCCAUUCGUGCUCUUUGUUCCCGGCUCAUUAGCAGCCUCUGGUACUCUCGCCGAUCUCGCAGCGGUUCACAGUGCACGGAAGAAUGUGUUGGAAAUUGUACUAUUACGUUCAUCCACAAUUUAACAGUGUUUAUGCCGGAAGGACAGUUCGUGCAGUCGAUGCCGCCGGACCUGACACGAAGGAGCGUUUUCCGAGUAUGUCUCGAAAGGGAUGUCACGAUUUCGUGAGACGGAUGCAAUCUCUGCACCACAUGGGAGCCUGUGGCAAAAUGCAGUCUGAGCAGCCCGACAAGGAAUCUGAUCUGCUUGCUUUGACAAGGUAUGGCUGGGCCUGCAGAGAAAGUGUAAGCAGACUGUGCUGUGUUGCUGAUCAGUGCUGAUCUCCACGCCUGAGUUGGUCCCCCAACAUCCAGGCACCAGCGUGCUUUGCUUCAUCAUUGACAAGGUAAUAUGAUAUGGAGAGCUUGCACCUGGAUAUCAGUUUUGAGCUUGACUUUUGAGAAAUAUGUUGAGA